rnacentral:RNase_P_RNA from 1 species
GAAGUUCGCCAGGCAGUCGCUGCACAUUUCGGUGUGUGGAGGAAAGUCCGGGCCCCGCAGAGCAGGAUGCCGGCUAACGGCCGGGCGCCGUGAGGCGACGGAAAGUGCAACAGAGAACAGACCGCCGAUGGCCUCGCAAGAGGAUCAGGCAAGGGUGAAACGGUGCGGGAUCGCGCGCAAGCGCGAUUCCGGGCGGCGCGCAAGAGCCAACGGGUAAGAGCCCACCGCAGGACCGGUAACGGGACUGGCACGGCAAACCCCAUCCGGGGCAAGGCCAAAUAGGGGAGCAAUGGCGUGGCUCGCGCUGCUCCCGGGUAGGCUGCUUGAGCGCUGCGGUAACGCAGCGCCCAGAGGAAUGACUGCCCGGCGACCCCGGCUCGCGCCGGAGUCGCUCGACAGAACCCGGCUUAUCGGCGAACUUCCAAC